GACGAACGCUGGCGGCGUGCUUAACACAUGCAAGUCGAGCGGUAAGGCCCUUUCGGGGGUACACGAGCGGCGAACGGGUGAGUAACACGUGGGUGACCUGCCCUUAGCUCUGGGAUAAGCCUGGGAAACUGGGUCUAAUACCGGAUAUGACUCCAUAACGCAUGUUGUGGGGUGGAAAGCCUUGUGCGGCUAGGGAUGGGCCCGCGGCCUAUCAGCUUGUUGGUGGGGUGAUGGCCUACCAAGGCGACGACGGGUAGCCGGCCUGAGAGGGCGACCGGCCACACUGGGACUGAGACACGGCCCAGACUCCUACGGGAGGCAGCAGUGGGGAAUCUUGCGCAAUGGGCGAAAGCCUGACGCAGCGACGCCGCGUGGGGA
rnacentral:rRNA from 1 species